AAAAAAAUCUGCUUUUUUUAACCACUAAAUUGGCACCACUGAAUCUGAAGGUAUCCGACAGCUUUGGCUUCAUCUGAUGGUGUUGAAGCACGGCAGUCAUUCCUGGGCCUCCAUCAAACAGUUCCUUCCACCUCCAAGCUCCAGCCUCACACUGC